UAGGGAAUUUUCCACAAUGGGCGAAAGCCUGAUGGAGCAACGCCGCGUGCAGGAUGAAGGCCUUCGGGUUGUAAACUGCUUUUCUCUGUGACGAUUAUGACGGUAGCAGAGGAAUAAGGAUCGGCUAACUACGUGCCAGCAGCCGCGGUCAUACGUAGGAUCCAAGCGUUAUCCGGAAUUACUGGGCGUAAAGAGUUGCGUAGGUGGUGAUAUAAGCGAACAAUGAAAUCGUGUGGCUCAACCAUAUCGGCUAUUGUUCGAACUGUAUUACUUGAGUGCGAGAGAGGUAGCUGGAAUUUCCGGUGUAGGAGUGAAAUCCGUAGAUAUCGGAAGGAACACCGAUGGCGAAGGCAGGCUACUGGCUCGUUACUGACACUGAGGCACGAAAGCGUGGGGAGCA
rnacentral:rRNA from 1 species